AACAAAUUGCCUGAUUAAAGGAUUAUUUUGAUGAAAUAAAUUAUACAAACANCCCCCCUGUAUUUGUUA
rnacentral:tRNA from 1 species